rnacentral:rRNA from 1 species
UACGGGGGGGGUAAGCGUUGUUCGGAAUUACUGGGCGUAAAGGGCUCGUAGGCGGCCAACUAAGUCAUACGUGAAAUCCCUCAGCUUAACUGGGGAACUGCGUGUGAUACUGGAUGGCUUGGAUUUGGGAGAGGGAUGCGGAAUUCCAGGUGUAGCGGUGAAAUGCGUAGAUAUCUGGAGGAAUACCGGUGGCGAAGGCGGCAUCCUGGACCAUUACUGACGCUGAGGCGCGAAAGCUAGGGGAGCAAACGGG